rnacentral:rRNA from 1 species
UGGGGAAUUUUGGACAAUGGGCGCAAGCCUGAUCCAGCCAUGCCGCGUGCGGGAAGAAGGCCUUCGGGUUGUAAACCGCUUUUGUCAGGGAAGAAAUCUUCUGAGUUAAUACCUCGGGAGGAUGACGGUACCUGAAGAAUAAGCACCGGCUAACUACGUGCCAGCAGCCGCGGUAAUACGUAGGGUGCAAGCGUUAAUCGGAAUUACUGGGCGUAAAGCGUGCGCAGGCGGUUUUGUAAGACAGAGGUGAAAUCCCCGGGCUCAACCUGGGAACUGCCUUUGUGACUGCAAGGCUUGAGUGCGGCAGAGGGGGGAUGGAAUUCCGCGUGUAGCAGUGAAAUGCGUAGAUAUGCGGAGGAACACCGAUGGCGAAGGCAAUCCCCUGGGCCUGCACUGACGCUCAUGCACGAAAAGCGUGGGGAGCAAAACAGGAUUAGAUACCCUGGUAGUCCACGCCCUAAAACGAUGUCAACUGGUUGUUGGGAAGGUUCCUUCUCAGUAACGUAGCUAACGCGUGAAGUUGACCGCCUGGGGAGUACGGCCGCAAGGUUGAAACUUAAAUGAAUUGAC